AGAUAAGUAAUUUAAAUAAAAUAUUUGGCUUGCACCCAAAAAAUGCUAAGCCUUGUCUA
rnacentral:tRNA from 1 species